rnacentral:rRNA from 1 species
AGAGCGAACGCUGGCGGCAGGCCUAACACAUGCAAGUCGAGCGCCCCGCAAGGGGAGCGGCAGACGGGAGAGUAACACGUGGGAAUGUACCCUUUGGUUCGGAACAACACAGGGAAACUUGUGCUAAUACCGGAUAAGCCCUUACGGGGAAAGAUUUAUUGCCAAAGGAUCGGCCCGCGUCUGAUUAGCUUGUUGGUGAGGUAACGGCUCACCAAGGCUACGAUCAGUAGCUGGUCUGAGAGGAUGAUCAGCCUCACUGGGACUGAGACACGGCCCAGACUCCUACGGGAGGCAGCAGUGGGGAAUAUGGACAAUGGCGCAAGCCUGAUCCAGCCAUGCCGCGUGGAUGAUGAAGGCCCUAGGGUUGUAAAGUCCUUUCGACGGGGAAGAUAAUGACGGUACCCGUAGAAGAAGCCCGGCUAACUUCGUGCCAGCAGCCGC